rnacentral:rRNA from 1 species
GACGAACGCUGGCGGCGUGCCUAAUACAUGCAAGUUGAGCGCUGAAGGUUGGUACUUGUACCAACUGGAUGAGCAGCGAACGGGUGAGUAACGCGUGGGGAAUCUGCCUUUGAGCGGGGGACAACAUUUGGAAACGAAUGCUAAUACCGCAUAAAAACUUUAAACACAAGUUUUAAGUUUGAAAGAUGCAAUUGCAUCACUCAAAGAUGAUCCCGCGUUGUAUUAGCUAGUUGGUGAGGUAAAGGCUCACCAAGGCGAUGAUACAUAGCCGACCUGAGAGGGUGAUCGGCCCCAUUGGGACUGAGACACGGCCCAAACUCCUACGGGAGGCAGCAGUAGGGAAUCUUCGGCAAUAGACGAAAGUCUGACCGAGCAACGCCGCGUGAGUGAAGAAGGUUUUCGGAUCGUAAAACUCUGUUGGUAGAGAAGAACGUUGGUGAGAGUGGAAAGCUCAUCAAGUGACGGUAACUACCCAGAAAGGGACGGCUAACUACGUG